UGUUUUAAGUAGUUAUUAAACUAAGUGUAACUCGGCUCGGAAUGUCAGUGACCGAAUUCCGUAAAUAUUAAGUGUCACCUUACAAUAAAGAAUUUACUACAUUAUAGAAUAAUUGCUAGCUAUCAUUCAUUGUCGGACAUAUUCGUAGUAUUGUUUGUUUAUCAGUAUUAUUUCUGUAAACACCUUUUAGCCAGGAAUUUCAUAUCAUAAGAAUUGUAGAGACACACCAGUGAGCAUUCUUAAAAUUAAUUGGAGUCCUUUAUAGAGGAUGUCUUCAAGUAAGUUUUUAUUUUUUUGGGAACUUCUAGAAAACUGACAUCUAUUUGCCAAUAACUGACAGACGAAAAUCGUUGAAUAAUUAGAGAGA
rnacentral:lncRNA from 1 species